rnacentral:rRNA from 1 species
AGAGAUGCACUGGGUAUAAAGGGUGCGCAGGCGGUUUUGUAAGACAGAGGUGAAAUCCCCGGGCUCAACCUGGGAACUGCCUUUGUGACUGCAAGGCUGGAGUGCGGCAGAGGGGGAUGGAAUUCCGCGUGUAGCAGUGAAAUGCGUAGAUAUGCGGAGGAACACCGAUGGCGAAGGCAAUCCCCUGGGCCUGCACUGACNCUCAUGCACGAAAGCGUGGGGAGCAAACA